AGAUGGUUGACGGUUUCUUAUUGUCAUUUUUUCAUGCAGACGAAUCCUCUUCAUUCCAAAAUUUGAACGAUUCAAAAUGUCACAUUCAUGAUGGAGAAAACGCAGGAGUGGUCGAGAAAUCGAGGCACCUUGCACCAAUCGGUAGCAUAUUUAUCGGAAAACUUUGACUCUUCAGAAGAGAACUUCGAGUUUGGCAACCCCCACCCCCCCCCCCCUCGUUGAUGAAAGAGGUGGCGUUUGUUUACGAAAUGAGAAUCUGAAGUGACAGUGAAUGAAUUCAAUAAAGCUAAAAACAGAUAUACAAGUGUAGAAAGGUCAACCAGGCAAACAGAGCUUUGUCGUCAGACAAAUCAGAAAGGUAUGUAAUAUUUACGAAAAUUAAACGGACAGGUUCAUCUAGAAAAACAGUCAUAUUCCUUUUGUUCCGGACCUGACGUCACGUAAGCGGAACUAUUUCGAAAAAAGUGUCUUCGCCAAAUAGAACGUUGAAGCGGAGAUGUAUUUGAAUGCUAUUGUCUUCGCUGACCUAGCUAAUACGUCGUCUAGUAUUGUAUCAGAAACAGAAACACUAUCGGUGAAUUUGUUGAAUUCAUCCGCUAGCUUAACAAAGAUGUCAGAAGGCCGAGAUCAACUUCUUACAUUGAAUUUGAAACAAUCAGCUCUCAAUACUUUGCAUGUCAAUGAGAUUGUGAAACUUUAAUCGAAUUCGUCUUCAGAUAUGCACAAUCGCCAAAAUUCGAUGAAUCAGAAAGGAGUCGUAAUGGAUUAACUUCUGGUUGAUAUAGCUCUUCAUUAUGCUGACUUAAUUAUUAUUAAUGAUUUGUGGUAGUUGAGUGGUUGUCAUUAUACAUGUAGCAACUAAGGGAUGAAUAAAAAAACGCUCUCUU
rnacentral:sRNA from 1 species